UUAAAAAUAGCUUUUGUAUAUCUAGUGCGUCAUGAGUUAAAAAUGAUAGAUUUUUCGCUAUCAGUAAUCCAAAAUUUUGAUAUUUUUUGAUAAAUCAGGUGAUUUUGAAAGUUUCCUACACCUAAAAACGAAUCGUGAAACUC
rnacentral:sRNA from 1 species